rnacentral:rRNA from 1 species
UACGUAGGUGGCGAGCGUUGUCCGGAUUUACUGGGCGUAAAGAGCGCGCAGGCGGUCAAGUCAGUCGAAUGUGAAAGCCCCCGGCUCAACUGGGGAGGGUCAUUCGAUACUGCUCGACUUGAAGGCAGGAGAGGGAAGUGGAAUUCCCGGUGUAGAGGUGAAAUGCGUAGAUAUCGGGAGGAACACCAGUGGCGAAGGCGACUUUCUGGCCUGUUCUUGACGCUGAGGCGCGAAAGCUAGGGGAGCAAACGGG